CCUUGUAUCCCAAGGCGCGUGAGAGAACGCUGGUUAAGGAACUCGGCAAAUUUACACCGUAACUUCGGGAGAAGGUGUGCCCUUUGAUGUGUAGGACUUCGCGUCUGAAGCGUCGGGGGGUUGCAGAGAAACGGGGGCGGCGACUGUUUACUAAAAACACAGGACUCUGCGAACUCGCAAGAGGACGUAUAGGGUCUGACGCCUGCCCGGUGCUGGAAGGUUAAGGGGAGUUGUCAGCGCAAGCGAAGCAACGAACCGAAGCCCCAGUAAACGGCGGCCGUAACGAUAACGGUCCUAAGGUAGCGAAAUUCCUUGUCGGGUAAGUUCCGACCUGCACGAAUGGCGUAACGACUUCCCCACUGUCUCGACCAGCGACUCAGCGAAAUUGUAAUCGCGGUGAAGAUACCGUGUACCCGCGGCAAGACGGAAAGACCCCAUGAACCUUUACUGCAACUUGACAGUGAAGCUCGGGACAGACUGCGUAGGAUAGGUGGGAGGCUGUGAAGCCGGGAUUCUGGUCUCGGCAGAGCCAACCUUGAAAUACCACCCUGUUUGUUCUGGGCUUCUAACCCAGGCGAGUAAGCCUCGUCGGGGACACUGUCUGGUGGGCGGUUUGACUGGGGCGGUCGCCUCCCAAAAAGUAACGGAGGCGCGCGAAGGUUCCCUCAGGCUGAUUGGAAACCAGCCGUAGAGUGUAAUGGCACAAGGGAGCUUGACUGUGAGACCGACAGGUCGAGCAGGUGCGAAAGCAGGUCAUAGUGAUCCGGCAGUUCUGUAUGGAAGGGCUGUCGCUCAUCGGACAAAAGGUACUCUGGGGAUAACAGGCUGAUCGCGCCUGAGAGUUCAUAUCGGCGGCGCGGUUUGGCACCUCGAUGUCGGCUCAUCGCAUCCUGGGGCUGGAGCAGGUCCCAAGGGUUUGGCUGUUCGCCAAUUAAAGCGGUACGCGAGCUGGGUUUAGAACGUCGUGAGACAGUUCGGUCCCUAUCUGCCGUGGGCGCAGGAUACUUGAGAGGGUCUAACCAUAGUACGAGAGGACCUGGUUGGACGUACCUCUGGUGAUCCGGUUGUUCCGCCUGGAGCAUCGCCGGGUAGCUAUGUACGGAAUGGAUAACCACUGAAAGCAUCUAAGUGGGAAGCCGGCCUCAAGAUGAGGUAUCCCGGGACAUUAGUCCCCUGAAGGCCCGUCGAAGACUACGACGUAAUAGGCUAGGUGUGGAAGCGCAGCAAUGCGUGGAGCUAACUAGUACUAAUCGGCCGUGAGGCUUGACC
rnacentral:rRNA from 1 species